CAUGCUGUCUGGAACAUGAUGUGCUCUACUAGCUUCAUUUGGCUCCUGAACUGAUUCUGUGUCCUCUGGUUGGAGUCUUAUUUUGGAAAUGGAGAGACUGAUAUAAUCUGCCCUGCUAACUGUGAUGGCCAGUCAUGAUCACUGGCCAUGAUCCAAAGGUACUGUACAGGAGCCAGACAGUGAAACAAUUUGAGAGCUGCAUGAGGACGGCAUCAAAUUCAUCAGAGAAACCAGCAGACAGCUGCAUUAUCCAUGUGACAUCCUCCCAUGUGCAAUUCGUGUCAGUCAAUCCCAGUAAACGUCCAAGAAAAAACGUCCUAUCAUUAUGGAUACC